AGAUUGAUUGGUGCCUUCGGGAGCUUUUAUACAGGUGCUGCACGGCUGUCGUCAGCUCGUGUCGUGAGAUGUUGGGUUAAGUCCCGCAACGAGCGCAACCCUCGUCACUAGUUACUAACGGUUCGGCCGAGGACUCUAGUGAGACUGCCUUCGCAAGGAGGAGGAAGGUGAGGACGACGUCAAGUCAUCAUGGCCCUUACGGCUAGGGCAACACACGUGCUACAAUGGCCAGGACAAUGAGAAGCGAUACCGCGAGGUGGAGCAAAUCUAUAAACCUGGUCUCAGUUCGGAUUGUAGUCUGCAACUCGACUACAUGAAGCUGGAAUCACUAGUAAUCGUAGAUCAGCUAUGCUACGGUGAAUACGUUCCCGGGCCUUGUACACACCG
rnacentral:rRNA from 1 species